AGUCGUGCGAGAAGGAGACUUCGGUCUCUGAGUAGAGCGGCGCACGGGUGAGUAACGCGUGGAUGAUCUACCCUUGAGUUCGGGAUAACGGUGCGAAAGCGCCGCUAAUACCGUAUAACAAUCCAUUUCAUCGUGGGUUCAAAGCAGGCCUCUUCAUGAAAGCUUGCGCUUGGGGAUGAGUCCGCGUCCCAUUAGCUUGUUGGCGGGGUAACGGCCCACCAAGGCUACGAUGGGUAGCUGGUCUGAGAGGAUGAUCAGCCACACUGGAACUGAAACACGGUCCAGACUCCUACGGGAGGCAGCAGUGGGGAAUAUUGCGCAAUGGGGGAAACCCUGACGCAGCGACGUCGUGUGAGGGAAGAAGGCCUUCGGGUCGUAAACCUCUGUCAGAAGGGAAGAACAUCCGGGAGUCGAACAGCCUCCCGGCCUGACGGUACCUUCAGAGGAAGCGCCGGCUAACUCCGUGCCAGCAGCCGCGGUAAUACGGAGGGCGCAAGCGUUAAUCGGAAUCACUGGGCGUAAAGCGUGCGUAGGCUGUCUGAUAAGUCAGACGUGAAAUCCCUCGGCUCAACCGGGGAACUGCGUUUGAUACUGUUGAACUAGAGUCCUGGAGAGGGUGGCGGAAUUCCUGGUGUAGGAGUGAAAUGCGUAGAGAUGUGGAGGAACACCGAUGGCGAAGGCAGCCCCCUGGGAUGACACUGACGCUCAUGUA
rnacentral:rRNA from 1 species